rnacentral:lncRNA from 1 species
CACACCAUUACACCCAGACCUUAGGAUGGCCACUGAUGCUUUCUCUGACAAGAGAAGGCAGCUGUCUACAAGCUAGGAAGCGAGCCGUCCCCAGAAACCAAUCCUGCUGGACCAUGAUCUGGGACUUCCAACCUCCAGAACUGUUAGAAGAUGUGUUUCUGUUGCUUAAGCCACUCAGGCUUUGUCACUUUAUCAUGGCAGCCUGAGCUAAGACUGAGUGUUUCUGCCAGCCCUGACCUAGCUCAGCGACCAAAGAUUUUUCUAGGUCACAGCCCCCGUGGACAUCUGGUGAGGCUGCAGAUCCUUCUUCUAGAAACACACACACAAUAUUGCACAAGGUUUCGUAUCCCUAAGCCCACCCAUGGUGAGUCCAUGGCCUCCAGCCUAAAAGCCCAAUCUAGACAUUUUUGUUCUCUUCAAAUUCUGUUGAGAGCUGGAAUCGGGAAAGAUAUCAACACUAACAUUUACCAAAUGCUUAUUCUCUGCUAGGUUCUAAGCUAAGUGCUUCCUUUCCCUGUGUCACAACAUCAUGGACAAGCCUCACACUAUCUCCAUGAGCAUGGGUUGGUUUUAUGUUUAGUUUAUAGGUGAGGACCCUGGAACGCAAAGAGGUUAAGUGACUUGCCCAUGGUCUCACAGCUAGGUAGUGGCGGAUUCAGGAGUCGAACCCAGGAUCAGAGCUGUCCUUAUAACCUCAGCACUCUAGAUGAGUCUGCAGGGCAGGGCUUGGGUCUCUGGGCUCCAGAGAAGCACUGCAAUCCAGAUCUGACUCCCCGUGGCCAAACAUCUCUUUGUGUCAGUUCCCAAGAAUUCUCCCUGCACUGACUGGUAUAUACAUCUAUUCUGGG